CGCCGAAUCGCCGAUCAACGAACGCCCACCAAUUUCUUCAUCAGCUCCAUAUUAUUUUGGUGAGUUCCCAAAUCCCACUUGGGCCACUUCCCAUAUCAUUUUCUCUCUAUUAACUCCGAACGUAGCCAAUUUUUUUCAUUUUUUGAUCAUUUGCAAUUGCACCUUUCACGGAUGUACAUAAAAUGUACAACUUUGCGUAGUUAACCUAGUUAUUUAAUUCUAAUUUUUCGUAUUUUUCUGUAUUUUAUUGUUUAUUUUUCUCAGUAAAAUUUGGUUUACUAUAGCAAUAUAUUUAGGGUUUGUAAGAUUUUCUAAUAUGUUCAAUUGAUAAUUGAUAAUGAGAUGAAAACUGUUCAUGUCUAUGUAUGAAUCCUUUUAAAAAUUUGAAAAAUGUUUAUAACAAGAAAGUAUUAGGAAAAUGAGAUUAUAUAAUUUUCACGACAAAUGGUAAUUUUUAAUAAACUUGGUGAAUCUUUUUAUGGAACUUAUUCUCAAUAUAUUUGAUUAAAUACGUAUAUAUCUUGUCUAGAGUUCAAUUUUUAUCCGAUGGGUACACAAGUUUGACACCAAAAUUACUUUCUUUCCUUAUUAUACAACUUGACGUAAUCAAGGUAAAACUCUCAUCAUAUUUUGGUGACCUCUCGAUGAGACUCUCAAUAUUUAAAACGUGAAAGUGUCCCAAAAGAGCAUUUAUAUUUCAAUUUAUUUCUCUGCAUAUCUAUUAAAAUUAUACUAGUAUUUUUAUGAAAAAAAGAGUUUAUUCAUGUCAACGUUUAAAUCAUUCCUUUGAAGAAAAGAAAAUUAACUUUUCUUAUGUAGUAGUAGAGUCAAUGUCAAUGACUGUUGCCACCAGAUUCAUUUCGUAGAAGCCAUCAUAUAAAUUAGAUACUAUGAGCCCUAAAGUGGUGACAAUCAACAUGUGCAUCCAAACCUAAAAUUGGAGUUAGAAUUUUGUUAAUAAAUAGGCUGCUGUUUGGGUUGUUGAGCAGAUAUUGAGAAGAAUGCUUAUGAAGCCAAACUGCUUCAAGAAUCUUUGUAGGAGGGAAAAAAAAAAAAGUUUUUGACAUCAUCAAGAAUUUUCAUCCUUAAUGGAACAUAAAUUUGUAAAGGUCUGUAAAGAGAUCUUAAUGAUACAUUGUCUUCCGAAUUCCUCUAUUAGCCUCUAGGGCUUUAAAUUUUUUUCCCUUUCUGUCGAGCUUUCUUGAUUCGUGAAUCUUCAGAUUAUUCCUCCUUGGAAGUUCACUACUGUAACUGAGUCAGUUGACACAUGUUAAUUGAUAUGAUAUGGCUUUUGGUUAUUUGAUUAUUUUGGUCUUCAGUCAAUAAAUUUGUGUUAUUGGAUAAUCAUCAUUUGUGUUAUUGGAUAAUCAUUAGCCCUUCAGUUAGACUAUCUGUGUAAUGUGUUGUUGGAUAAUCACUUUUUCUAUAUUACUAAUUUGAUAAAAUAUUAUGUUGUAAAGGAAUCAUAAUGCAAAAUGAUUCCAUCCAUUCAUCAAAAGACCCUUUUUAUGGGUUCCAAUUGAUUAGAUUACACUUCCUUUUACUCUUUGACAUAUAUUGCAUGAACAUUAUUUAUUAUCUUUAAAUGUAAUAUGCUGCAUGGUAGAGUUUAUAUAUGUAAAUAGAGAGUUAGUCCCCAACUUUUGAAAUAGAACAUUUUGGCCCUCAAUAUUCCAUUAAUAUUACAAAAUUAUUUUCAGUUGAUAGAAACGGUGCUUAACCCAAAGUGGCUCUGCCACCAUUUUGUUUCAGGCUUGUGAGUUGUGACGAGAUCAUACUCAACGGUGUAAUUCCACAAUUAUAGUCAAAAUUUCACUUCUCAGGUAAGCAAUGGCUUGCCCUAACUUGUUAUUAAAGAGAUUGAAAAUGUUUGAAGCCUUGUCGGCUUAUAUAAUUGCAGCCUGGUCGGCUUAUAUGAUUGGUUAUUGUGGGAUGAACAAUUGCACAGGCGCACAUAGUAAUUGUAUUGGAAAUUGUAAUUGUGUGAUGAUUGAAAUAUUUUGUAAUUGUUUUUUAGGAUAAUCAUUGGACAUUAGAUACAGACUCAUACACUAUGCCUCCUAAAUAUGAGUCUGGUGCUCAAAAGAGGAAAAGGAAACGAAAUGAAAUUGCAUUGAUUCAAAGUCAAGUAGGGGAUAUUAACAAGUACUUCAAAAGCAACAAUGUGAAUGCGUUGAAUGAGGAUGAAGUAGAGAUUCAACCUGCCCAUGUUAAUGAAGUAGAUAGUACGGAUGAAGAAGUGAGUCAACCUGAUUAUGUUAAUGAAGUAGAUGAUAAAGAAGAAGAAGUGAUGAAACAGGCCUCUAAUAAUGAAGAAGAUGAUAAGGAAGAAGAG
rnacentral:lncRNA from 1 species